ACUCCUACGGGAGGCAGCAGUGGGGAAUAUUGCACAAUGGGGGAAACCCUGAUGCAGCCAUGCCGCGUGUGUGAAGAAGGCCUUGGGUUGUAAAGCACUUUCAGUAGGGAGGAAGGUAGUGUAGUUAACACCUGCAUUAUUUGACGUUACCUACAGAAGAAGCACCGGCUAACUCCGUGCCAGCAGCCGCGGUAAGUACGGAGGGUGCGAGCGUUAAUCGGAAUUACUGGGCGUAAAGCGCAUGCAGGCGGCCUGUUAAGUCAGAUGUGAAAGCCCGGGGCUUAACCUCGGAAUUGCAUUUGAAACUGGCAGGCUAGAGUCUUGUAGAGGGGUUAGAAUUUCAGGUGUAGCGGUGAAAUGCGUAGAGAUCUGAAGG
rnacentral:rRNA from 1 species